AGUAGCUACCUGGAGCUCACAGAGUGAAGACUGGGUUCCCAGAAAGGGGAAGGAGUUCUAGUACUAUACCAUGCUCGAAGGGCCUGAGGUAAGGGCAAACCAGGCCUUAACAUAGAUGGCCUGAUUCACCCCUGCCUUGCCCUUUGAGUGGCCAUUCCCAUCUGCGAAGAGUGAGUGUAAAGUGUCCCUGCCAAUUCAAUGCCUUUUCCAAACACUGACCAAUUCUCACUACACUCCAGUGAGGCAGAAGGAUUUGUGCCAAAAAAGGACUCCAUUUUACCUCCAUGUGAUUGCAGCCGGGCUUAGAAUGAUGCUUGGAGAUCUCUGCAUGCUCAUCAGAUUUCUCCAAAGCCAAUGCUGGAAAGGAGAUCAGAUGUCUGCUCUGUGCCUCGUGACAUCCUUUGUGACAUGAGCCAUUAUGAUCAUACUUCAACCUUUCUGCAUGUUGUAUUAAGAGAGUGGCACUCACCCCUCGGUGAGUCUAGCAUAGUUCAACAAUCCAUCUGUAUCAGACACCUUUAUUUUAAAAGCUUUCCUCUGCCACUCCCUUCCCCACAGGGAACUGCAAUCUUCUUCACCCUUUAUUUUUAAGAACAGGGUUACUAUUUUUUGUCUUUAUUUCUGGUAUCAAUGUUAACUCAGCCAUGGCACCACAAGCUGUAUUCACAAUAACACUCCAAGCUAAAAGGGUUAGGCCCAGUCAGUACUCAGACAGGUGCGCUCUAGGGGAAGCUAGGAGUAGUGGAAUUGGUAGUUCAGAAAACGGCUGUAAGCUAGUUGACUAGGCCAUCUUGUCCAACAAAAAUGGUCCUUUGCCAAAGUGUAGCCACUAGAGCUGUGUGGAGGACAGAAAUGUAAUUGCACAAAGGAUUUCAAAAUUGGGCUUCAUUCAAAAAUUUCAAAAUGCUCAGAGAAAAUUCUGAUCUUGUUUUGGAACAAUCAAAAUAUUUUGUUUUGAUGCUGACUUUUUAAAAUUUUGUAUUAGAAUAGAUCAUGCAAAAUUUUUAAAAUUUCAAAAUGAAAAACUGAAAUCUUUAGUUCCAAAAAUGUUAAAAUGGGAAUUUCAACAUUGUCAGAACUUUUAAUUGCCGUUUUUUCUCUGAAACAAAAUUCUGGCAAAACUAACACAAUUUUGUGAGAUACCAUGUGGGUGAGGUAAUUUCUUUUAUUGAACAAUUUCUGUUGGUGAGAGAGACAAGCUUUUAGG